rnacentral:lncRNA from 1 species
ACAAACGUACCUUUGGUGCCAGAAGGAGGAAACGUCGUAGAUCUAACAGAGGUGGAAGGAGAACGCCUUAGAACCCUAACGUGAAAAAGAACGAAAAUAACAGAGAGUGAAAUAACAAAACGCGCAGUAUGUUAUAAUUUUAAUGUUUACUAAACGGGACCUUAGAGGGCGCUUGUGGAAAAAAAGCGCCCUCUAAGGUGCGCUGUCUAUUGCUCCUUAUUUUUUCGCUUCACUUUAG